rnacentral:rRNA from 1 species
ACGAACGCUGGCGGCGCGCCUAACCCAUGCCAGUCGAACGAGCGAGAGAGAGCUUGCUUUCUCGAGCGAGUGGCGAACGGGUGAGUAACGCGUGAGGAACCUGCCUCAAAGAGGGGGACAACAGUUGGAAACGACUGCUAAUACCGCAUAAGCCCACGACCCGGCAUCGGGUAGAGGGAAAAGGAGCAAUCCGCUUUGAGAUGGCCUCGCGUCCGAUUAGCUAGUUGGUGAGGUAACGGCCCACCAAGGCGACGAUCGGUAGCCGGACUGAGAGGUUGAACGGCCACAUUGGGACUGAGACACGGCCCAGACUCCUACGGGAGGCAGCAGUGGGGAAUAUUGCACAAUGGGGGAAACCCUGAUGCAGCGACGCCGCGUGGAGGAAGAAGGUCUUCGGAUUGUAAACUCCUGUUGUUGAGGAAGAUAAUGACGGUACUCAACAAGGAAGUGACGGCUAACUACGUG